rnacentral:lncRNA from 1 species
UCGCGAGGAUAUAGAAAUAAAUGUGAUGACUACCUCCUCAAAACAAGACUUGGCGCGGUUACGGUAGCGGUGCGACGAACCGGUGUGCCCUUUUCAGGUAGCUUACUUUGCCCUGCUUCUCCCUUUUCUUUUUAUCACCUGUAACUAAAGCAAGCUUCUCCUUCUUUUUGCUCGAUCCGCGUCUAGUAGGGUUGAGGGUUCUCCUCUCUUUUUUUUGUGUCCUCCGCCGCAAUGAAUAGUAACUCUAUAUAUCCUUCAAAUUAGGGUGUGUCUUCUUUUUCAUACGUGUGAGAGAUGAGGACAAAAGCGUGUGAACCCAAGGCAACACAAAAGCUGGGUUCUGAAUCAAACCCCCCGACAGUGGCUUGUCCUCUGGCCCUGAUUUCAUGGUCUUGGUGGGGUAAACAUGUACUGGAGUGGGUAGGGAUUUUUUCAGGUAGUGAAAGUUUGCCUUCUCACUCUUAAGUGGUCCCUCUUUCUCGACCCUACACUGAUCACAACAUACAACUUCACUGUUACGUGAAUUUACUCCUUAGCACUUUUAUUAUAUUUCAGGACUUUGUCGUGUUUGGUGGUUCGUCUUGUCACAAUCUUGGCAUUAACAUAAUGUUCUCUUUUGCUUCUAGGUUCAAAAAGGGCGGUCGGACGGACUUGAAGGCAAAGUAACACAAAAAUCAUGGAGCAAACGAAACAUCAAUCGUCGCAGCGGGAGCUUGAUCGGGGAAUUCAACUCAAUGGAAAUAGGAUAACAUAAGGGUCUAGGAAACAAGUCCUGGAUUUCACGCCUCUUCUCUUCUCUCCUCUUGUUGAUUUUGAGAAUACUAAAACUGAUUCUUGUAGCUCACACCAUGCCGACAUUCACUUACGGUAAGCUUUUUCUUCUUUGUUCAUGCCAUCUUAUGUGUGUCGUAGGCUUGGCGAAUUUAUGCUGAAAUUGUUGUGUUUGAUACCGUGCAGGAUCAUCUUUGACAUACACUCUUUGUACCUCUUUGGUUCCUGAAACUUGUUCAUCGCCCGGGGACUUUGAAGCUGCAGCAGCACGUGUGGCCUCCUUAACAGGCAUUGCCGACAUUGCCAUGACAUCAGGCGUAGCACCAGUAUAAACAUUUGACAACUGACCAAACCAUUUAAGAGACGAAUCAACGUUACAAACAUUGAGAUAAAGGUUGUCAUUUAAACACAAGGCUCCUUCCAAUUCCAUUGAUAGUCUUUGUAGAAAUAACAUUCUCAGGAUAACUCGCCAGGUAAAUUUAGCAUAAACAUCUUGCUUAUGGUAUAUGCAGAUGUUCUGAAUACCCCUAGGUUGACGUAUGUAAAAAUCAAGCAUUCUCACACAUUCAUCAACAUUAACAUAAUAGUUAUUUUUGAAUUACUGUAAUCCUUGUUUGGGACUGCUAUGAAUUUCCUGCUACAACUUGUUGUUGGUGCAAUGUUCGACUGACAUUAUUACAUUGUGAAUUGGUAGGUUUGUCAAUAGAAAGCCGCAGGCUUGGUUUCUUGGUGCGCCGCUAAUGAAUAGACUUGGAGGUGUAUCACGGCAUGGUGGUAUGGACUAAUUUACCACAGCAGGAACACUGUAACAUUUUUUCCUUUCCUCCUCAGUGGUGCAAAUUUCACAUAUCUGAAAAUCCUCAUCAGAGUCAAUAGAUUCGCUGUCAGAAUCACUUUCAGGUUCUUCCUCACUUUUUGCAUCACUAGGAGGUUCCCACUUGGCGACUUUUAUGACCCUUCCUUUUAAUGAAACACCAGGGGUUGCAGAGUUCCUUGUGUCUUCGAAUAGUAUAAUAUCUGCCGAGUUCAACACUCGAAGAGCCCUGAAUGUGAUGUCUUCAAGAUUUCCAAUCGGUGUUCCGACGAGAUAAAGACCGGGUUUCAGAUGCUACGGGCGACGAUUAUCUG